AUCAAAUAUUAAAAAGAUGCCUCAAAACCAAAAAUUAAUAUUUAAAAUUUAAAGUUUCUUGAUUCUCUCAUAUGUUGCCUUUGAACGCAAUCCAAACCUGGAAUCAUGUAUUCUCUUGGAGACCGGUAAAUGAUCAUUGGAGCAGUUUUAUAGUUGAAGAUGAUUUCAAGUUCAUAGCUAGGAAUGGAUUAAAUGCAGUUAGAAUUCCAGUUGGUUGGUGGAUAGCUAGUGACCCAACUCCACCAUGGCCUUCAAAUUGUUCAAUCGAGUGUCUGGAUCGACAUUUUUUGUAUACAAAAAACCCUAGUCUAUAUGCAGUUGAACUCUUAAACGAACCUCUCUCUCUCCAAGUGUAACCCUAGAGACCUUAAACAAGUACUACAAGCUAAGGCUGGUUACGGCGCGGUGCGUAAACACUCCACCACUACCUAUGUGGUUAUGUCAAAUAGGCUAGGACCCUCAGAACCCAAGGAACUCUUUCCUCUUGCCAAUGGUCUUAUGAGGUCUGUAAUUGAUGUUCACUACUACAACAUCUUCAAUGAUUUGUUUGAAAACAUGAUUGCUCAACAAAACAUUGUUUUUAUUUACAACAAUCGUUCAUCGGAGUUGAAUUUUAUUACAACAUCGAAUGGUCCUCUUACUUUCGUCGGUGAAUGGGCUUCUGAUUGGUGAGUCAAAGAUGCAACCAAAGAGGACUUCCGAAGAUUGAAUUCUGCUCUUUAUCCAAACGGAUCUGCUCAUUCCUAAAGUAAAUGACCAAAAUGUCUCUGCGUGAGUUAACUCACGCUAGUAUAAAUUUCCAAAUUUUACACGUGACUUACGCUUGCUGAAAAACAACAAACUUCUUCAUCAUGACCGUGUUCAAUUGGGACGAUGCCACACAAACUUCUUUCUUCAAGUCCUCUUUAUUUUUAUGUUUAAUCAACACAAAGAAUGCAAUUGAUUUUCCUAUGUUAUCUGCCCUUAACUAAGAAAGAAAUCAAUUCAUACGAUGAAGAGAAACAAACAUAAAUCAAUUCAUGCGAUGAAGAGAAACAAACAGAUGGAAAUUAUAGUGAUUGCUUAUUAUUCUGUAACAUGAUUUUGUAUUCCAUGUGCAUCGUAAUUACAACAACAUCUUUUCCU